rnacentral:rRNA from 1 species
AGUGAACGCUGGCGGUAGGCCUAACACAUGCAAGUCGAACGGCAGCACAGGAGAGCUUGCUCUCUGGGUGGCGAGUGGCGGACGGGUGAGGAAUACAUCGGAAUCUACUUUUUCGUGGGGGAUAACGUAGGGAAACUUACGCUAAUACCGCAUACGACCUACGGGCGAAAGCAGGGGACCUUCGGGCCUUGUGCGAUUGAAUGAGCCGAUGUCGGAUUAGCUAGUUGGCGGGGUAAAGGCCCACCAAGGCGACGAUCCGUAGCUGGUCUGAGAGGAUGAUCAGCCACACUGGAACUGAGACACGGUCCAGACUCCUACGGGAGGCAGCAGUGGGGAAUAUUGGACAAUGGGCGCAAGCCUGAUCCAGCCAUACCGCGUGGGUGAAGAAGGCCUUCGGGUUGUAAAGCCCUUUUGUUGGGAAAGAAAUCCAGCUGGCUAAUACCCGGUUGGGAUGACGGUACCCAAAGGAUAAGCACCGGCUAACUUCGUGCCAGCCGCCGCCGUAA